AUGAUGGUUGGAACUAAUGAUAGUUUCGGCCUGAAGAUGGAAGAGGGAUUACUGGAAGUGUAUCCUCAAACUGAAGAGAGCUUGACUGACUUUCAAGAGAAAUGCAGAGUGAAAGGUUCGAAGGAAAACUUGUGCCCAAGAUGCAAUACUGUGUAUGAUGAAGAAGCAGCUGGGAAAUAUGAGGCUUUAAAAAAUAGGAUCUUGAGCAAGAGAAACCUUCAGUUCCAAGAUUUGUUUUCGACAAGGAAGGAAUACCUCGACGCAACGAGGAAUACAGAAGAUUGUUCCAGCAACCUCGUCCGAAAACCUUUCUCCCUCUGUCGAAAAUCCAACAAGAAAAAUGGGUGGAACCGGUGA